rnacentral:rRNA from 1 species
GUGAGGAAUUUUCCGCAAUGGGCGAAAGCCUGACGGAGCAAUGCCGCGUGAAGGAUGAAGGCCUAUGGGUUGUAAACUUCUUUUCUCAGAAAAGAAGUAUGACGGUAUCUGAGGAAUAAGCAUCGGCUAACUCUGUGUCAGCAGCCGCGGUAAGACAGAGGAUGCAAGCGUUAUCCGGAAUGAUUGGGCGUAAAGCGUCUGUAGGUUGUUUAAAAAGUAUUCUGUCAAAGAUUAGGGCUUAACUCUAGAUAGGCAGAAUAAACUUUUAAGCUAGAGUUUGGUAGAAGCAGAGGGAAUUACCGGUGGAGCGGUGAAAUGCGUAGAUAUCGGGAGGAACACCAAAGUCGAAGGCACUCUGCUGGGCCAAUACUAACACUGAGAGACGAAAGCGAGGGGAGCAAAUGGGAUUAGAUACCCGGGUAGUCC